rnacentral:sRNA from 1 species
GCCGGGCAUGGUGGCGCAUGACUGUAAUUCCAGCAGCCUGGGAGGCUGGGACAGGAGAAUCGCAUGUUCAAAGCUACACUCGACAACUUAUGAGGCCUUAAGCAACUCAGUGAGAUUCUGUCUCAA